rnacentral:rRNA from 1 species
AGUGAACGCUGGCGGUAGGCCUAACACAUGCAAGUCGAACGGCAGCACAGUAAGAGCUUGCUCUUACGGGUGGCGAGUGGCGGACGGGUGAGGAAUACAUCGGAAUCUACUUUUUCGUGGGGGAUAACGUAGGGAAACUUACGCUAAUACCGCAUACGACCUACGGGUGAAAGCAGGGGAUCUUCGGACCUUGCGCGAUUGAAUGAGCCGAUGUCGGAUUAGCUAGUUGGCGGGGUAAAGGCCCACCAAGGCGACGAUCCGUAGCUGGUCUGAGAGGAUGAUUCGGCCAAACGGAAACUGAGACACGGUCAGGACCCCUAGGGGAGGCAGCAGUGGGAAAUUUUGGACAAUGGGGGCAAGCCUGACCCAGCCAUACGCGUGGGUGAAGAAGGCCUUCGGGUUGUAAAGCCCCUUUGUUGGGAAAGAAAAGCAGCAGGUUAAUACCCCGCUGUUCUGACGGUACCCAAAGAAUAAGCACCGGCUAACUUCGUG